UUCCGGUUGAUCCUGCCGGACCCGACUGCUAUUCGGGUGAGAAUAAGCCAUGCGAGUUGAAUGGAAUACCUAAAUUUUCCAUAGCAAACUGCUCAGUAACACAUGAUCAACUUACCCUAUAGAGAAAAAUAACCUCGGGAAACUGAGGAUAAUGUUUCAUAGUUGAAAAGGCUUGGAAAAGUUUUUCAAUUAAAAGGAUAAGAAAAAUGGUUUUUAUCCGCUAUAGGAUAGGAUCGUGGUCGAUUAUGGUUGUUGGUGAGGUAAUGGCUCUCCAAGCCGAUAAUCGAUAGGGGCCGUGAGAGCGGGAGCCCCGAGAUGGGUACUGAGACAACGACCCAGGCCUUACGAGGCGCAGCAGGCGCGAAACCUCCGCAAUACACGAAAGUGUGACGGGGUUACCCAAAGUGUUCAAUUUUGAACUGUGGUAGGUGAGUAAUGUCCCCUACUAGAAAGGAGAGGGCAAGGCUGGUGCCAGCCGCCGCGGUAAAACCAGCUCUUCAAGUGGUCGGGAUAAUUAUUGGGCUUAAAGUGUCCGUAGCCGGUUUAGUAAGUUCCUGGUAAAAUCGGGUAGCUUAACUAUCUGUAUGCUAGGAAUACUGCUAAACUAGAGGGCGGGAGAGGUCUGAGGUACUACAGGGGUAGGGGUGAAAUCUUAUAAUCCUUGUAGGACCACCAGUGGCGAAGGCGUCAGACUGGAACGUGCCUGACGGUGAGGGACGAGAGCCAGGGGAGCGAACCGGAUUAGAUACCCGGGUAGUCCUGGCCGUAAACGAUGCAUACUAGUGAUGGCAUGGCCAUGAGCCGUGUCAGUGCCGUAGGGAAACCGUUAAGUAUGCCGCCUGGGAAGUACGGUCGCAAGGCUAAAGCUUAAGGAUUGGCGGGGAGCACACAGGGGUGAGCUGCGUUCAUUGACUCACGCCGGU
rnacentral:rRNA from 1 species